UGCGGCCUGCCGGGGUACAUGCAAGUCGAGCGGACCGAACGGGAGCUUGCUUCUGUUCGGUUAGCGGCGGACGGGUGAGUAACACGUGGGUAACCUGCCCGUAAGACCGGGAUAACUCCGGGAAACCGGGGCUAAUACCGGAUAACACCGAAGACCGCAUGGUCUUUGGUUGAAAGGUGGCUUUUGCUACCACUUACGGAUGGGCCCGCGGCGCAUUAGCUAGUUGGUGAGGUAACGGCUCACCAAGGCGACGAUGCGUAGCCGGCCUGAGAGGGUGACCGGCCACACUGGGACUGAGACACGGCCCAGACUCCUACGGGAGGCAGCAGUAGGGAAUCUUCCGCAAUGGACGAAAGUCUGACGGAGCGACGCCGCGUGAGCGAAGAAGGUCUUCGGAUCGUAAAGCUCUGUUGUUAGGGAAGAAGAAGUACCGUUCGAAUAGGGCGGUACGGUGACGGUACCUAACGAGAAAGCCCCGGCUAACUACGUGCCAGCAGCCGCGGUAAUACGUAGGGGGCGAGCGUUGUCCGGAAUUAUUGGGCGUAAAGCGCGCGCAGGCGGUCCCUUAAGUCUGAUGUGAAAGCCCACGGCUCACCCGUGGAGGGUCAUUGGAAACUGGGGGACUUGAGUGCAGAAGAGGAGAGCGGAAUUCCACGUGUAGCGGUGAAAUGCGUAGAGAUGUGGAGGAACACCAGUGGCGAAGCGGCUCUCUGGUCUGUAACUGACGCUGAGGCGCGAAAGCGUGGGGAGCAACAGGAUUAGAUACCCUGGUAGUCCACCGCCGUAAACGAUGAGUGGUAAGGUGG
rnacentral:rRNA from 1 species